GAUGAACGCUGGCGGCGUGCCUAAUACAUGCAAGUCGAGCGAACAGAUGUGGAGCUUGCUCCUCUGACGUUAGCGGCGGACGGGUGAGUAACACGUGGAUAACCUACCUAUAAGACUGGGAUAACUUCGGGAAACCGGAGCUAAUACCGGAUAAUAUAUUGAACCGCAUGGUUCAAUAGUGAAAGACGGUUUUGCUGUCACUUAUAGAUGGAUCCGCGCCGCAUUAGCUAGUUGGUAAGGUAACGGCUUACCAAGGCAACGAUGCGUAGCCGACCUGAGAGGGUGAUCGGCCACACUGGAACUGAGACACGGUCCAGACUCCUACGGGAGGCAGCAGUAGGGAAUCUUCCGCAAUGGGCGAAAGCCUGACGGAGCAACGCCGCGUGAGUGAUGAAGGUCUUCGGAUCGUAAAACUCUGUUAUUGGGGAAGAACAAAUGUGUAAGUAACUAUGCACGUCUUGACGGUACCUAAUCAGAAAGCCACGGCUAACUACGUG
rnacentral:rRNA from 1 species